GCGGAUAUGGCGAAAUUGGUAGACGCACCAGAUUUAGGUUCUGGCGGGAGACCGUGGGGGUUCGAGUCCCUCUAUCCGCACCA
rnacentral:tRNA from 56 species